AGGUGCAAUCAUACCAGCGUUAAUGCACUGGAUCCCAUUGGAACUCCACAAUUAAAUGCGCUUGGGCUAGAGUAGUACUGGGAUGGGUGACCUCCCGGGAAUUCCUAGUGUUGCACCCU
rnacentral:rRNA from 1 species